rnacentral:ncRNA from 1 species
CUUAAUUUGACUCAACACGGGAAACCUCACCAGGCCCGGACACCGGAAGGAUUGACAGAUUGAUAGCUCUUUCUUGAUUCGGUGGGUGGUGGUGCAUGGCCGUUCUUAGUUGGUGGAGCGAUUUGUCUGGUUAAUUCCGAUAACGAACGAGACUCUAACCUGCUAAAUAGGCGUACCUUCAGGUAUCUCGACGGCCCCCGGCUUCUGUCGGGUGGUUUUUACUACCGACGUAUAAACAAAUCUUCUUAGAGGGACAGGCGGCGUCUAGCCGCACGAGAUUGAGCAAUAACAGCUCUGUUAUUUCGCUCCCGCGUGUAAAG